GAUAGUUCCCUCUACCCUAGAUAAGGGUUCAAUAGUCUUAUUUUCCUUUCUAGGGUUACUUACUAGUCUUUACUACACUAAUGCGCCAUAUAUAGCUAUAAAUUGAUUUUUUUGGCCAAAUUUGCUUAAGCAAUUAGUUCAACUAAUUAUGUGACUUAAUCAUUGGUUAACCGAGUGGCUAGUAAAUUCAUGUUAAAAUAACUAAUCAACUGGUUGUUUGCAUAUAAAUAAACACAAUCAUUGGUUGAGAAAAUAUUUUAUCCUUCAUUCUACUGAUUUGGUGCAGAUUCAGCUUCUGAAUGAAGCCAUGGUCAACUGCUAGGGGGGUUGUAAUAAACUCAAGAUAGUUUUUUUUUUUUUUUUUUUUUUUUUAGCACUUUGACUUAAUUUUCAUCUUUCUCCUAGAAACUCUGGCAUCAUGUUUCCAAAGAAGACAGUGUGUUCUGGAUUUCCUUUGUUCACUUCUGGAAGUCAUCAUGAAGAAGGAAAUAGAUUUGGGUUUAUUUUAUACAGAGGAGGAAAUUCUGAAAAAAAAAAAAAGAAGAAAAGAAAAAAGAAGCACAUGUCAAAAGAUAAAAUAGUGCAGCAGAAGGAUUCAUUGCCUAGGUCUGAUAUAGAACUAAUUGUUGGCAGAUGUGGCAAGUAUUUUGAGCCAAGAUAUAGUAUUUGUUUGCACUGUCUGAGUUUUCAGCCUUAACCAAUGUCAGGUCGUUGCAGCUGGUUUCUAUCAAGUCUCUGUAUACCACAGACCAUCCACCUGACAAAACAACAUUUGCUCAUGUGACCUUCGUUCAAAAGCCUUUAAUAUGGGAAUUCGACCAAAGUAAUAGGGAAAUUUUGUUGGAAAUUCCUAAUCAAAUUAGUGAGUGGCUUAAUCUAAUUUUUAUUUACAUGUAAAUGCCCGUUUUAUAAUACACAGGUAACAUAUGUUCCUUUAAAAAAACAAAUUCAUUAAAAUUUAUGGUUUUAGCUCAUCAUGAACUUUAAUUUUGGGCUUAAAAAUUAUGUUAAAUCCUUAUCCUCUACAUAGGCAUCAUUCGUAAAGCAAAGCUUACAAACCACUUUCUAGCUUUAGUGAAAAAGAGUGAUCUCACAGUCCAAACUACAGUAAACAGAAUGAGUUGGAUGGAGCGCACUGAUUUUGCAUUAACAUUCCUUUCUUUACUGACAGGCCUUCACUUUCCCUUUUCAUGCCAGAAUCAGUAUGGUGAAUUAUUUUCAUGACCUUCCUCGUUGUUUUAAAUAAAUAAAAGAUUAGCAUUUCAGCCACCCUGUUUACAUUAAACUACAAAUUCCAUAAGCCACAGUAGUGUUUGUGUUUUCAACUUUCAUGCGUUUUUUUAAUGGGUGCAUGAGUUCAUUUGUUUCAACUGCCCCAAAUAUUUUAAGAGUACUGCACUGUGGAGAAGUAUUUAUUUGAAGUAGCUGUGGAUAAUUUGCAAACUCUAUGAUAAUACAGUGGUCUUUAUUAAUGAAACAGAAAGGCUUUUAUUCUGUAGUCUCCCUGACACUGCAGGAAAUAAAAUCUCAGAGACCUAAGCUUUUAUUAGAGUGAUUUUAGUUUUGGAUUAUAUCUACUCCUUGGGUUGCAAAGCAUCUAAAAUAACGUGACUCAAAGGCAGUUUUACCUGUUUUCAUGCUAUCCGUGCAGUUACAAAAUACAGUGCUGGGGAAUAAAAGUUGUCUGAAUCUGAAAGCCUCACUAAACAAAACAUGAAAAAGGUAUAUGGUUAGAAAAGCACAAAGUAAAAGGAAUCUCACCUUCGGUUUUGGCAAAUGUUGAAAAUAAAUUUAUUUGGGAAAAUUUAAAAUACUUUGUGAUGCCAAAUAUAAGGUGUUCAUGCAAUAAGGCAAUUCCAUACUUUUUCAAUGAGAAAUCCACGUAAAGCUUUUUUUCCCUAUAACUUUGAAUAUUUAUGGAUGCAGGUGAGAUAGUCAAAUGUCUAUGUACAGUAUUUAAAAUAAUUGCUUAUGUAUAGUUAAAAUAUUGUAAAAUAAUGCAGCAAUUGUGAAUAUUGCUAUAUUCCACUCUAAUCUCAUAACAAUUUUUUUUUUUUCAGUUCUUCAUACAUAUACAUCUUGACCUCAGACUCCUGGUCAUCACUAGAGAAAGUUUUAAAGUUUUUAAACAAAAUUUUCCAGGAAUAUAAUUUUUAUAUUAAUU
rnacentral:lncRNA from 1 species